rnacentral:rRNA from 1 species
GAUGAACGCUAGCGAUAGGCCUAACACAUGCAAGUCGAGGGGCAUCACAUGAAGUAGCAAUACGGAUGGUGGCGACCGGCGCACGGGUGAGUAACACGUAUGCAACCUGCCUUCAACAAGGGGAUAACCCGUUGAAAGACGGACUAAUACCCUAUAACACAGGGGUCCCGCAUGGGAAUAUUUGUUAAAGGACAACCGGUUGAAGAUGGGCAUGCGUUCCAUUAGCUAGUUGGCGGGGUAACGGCCCACCAAGGCAACGAUGGAUAGGGGAACUGAGAGGUUUAUCCCCCACACUGGUACUGAGACACGGACCAGACUCCUACGGGAGGCAGCAGUGAGGAAUAUUGGUCAAUGGACGCAAGUCUGAACCAGCCACGUCGCGUGAAGGAAGACGGCCCUACGGGUUGUAAACUUCUUUUAACGGGAAUAAAGUGCCCCACGCGUGGGGUUUUGCAUGUACCGUAUGAAUAAGGAUCGGCUAACUCCGUGCCAGCAGCCCGGUAAUUCACACUACA